CCUUUAAUAACUGAGCCUCUCUCGUCUCAUACCUAGAACUGCCGUCAAGCUGAGCGAAAUACAUAACAACAGGGAACUAUUCAUUCAUCUGACCGACGACCUGUUCAACGAGAUCCUCAGGAGUAAGAACCCAGAGCUGGAGGACUCAAGAAGGAUAUUAGGUCGGAUCCAGACAAGAAAACUUUACAAAGUAGUUGCUAACAAACUCCUUCCUGCGGCUCCAUUUUCAAAUCAUGAAUCCAAGAAACGGAAAAAGGAGGAAUUGAAAGAGUUUUACAAGAAAGAAAAUGAUGACAAAGGUGGUCAGUGGGACGUGUUGUGGUCUGAAGUCAACUACGGUAUAGAAUUCCCCAAAUUUUUAGAGAAGCAGUGGUUCUACAACAAGUCUGGAGCUGAAGAGCCGAAAGCUAAACAAAUAAAGCUUGAAGAUCUGUCCAACAUGCUGCCAAACUGCUACCAAGACGUGAAACUUCACUUGAUUUCCAAGAAUGGAAAGGAUCACAAUAUAGGAGAGGCGAAAAAGACUUUCAUUGAUAAGGUUAAUGAGAUGUUCCCUAUGCCAACUGCAGUCAUGCAAUAAGAUGCAGGGACAGAUUACCCUCACCUCUUACCAUCAUCUUACCAGGAUGACCUCCUCUCCUCGUGUCACACCUAUAUGGACCAUGACCUCUCCUCGUGUCAAACCUAUAUGGACCAUGACCUCUCCUCGUGUCACACCUAUAUGGACCAUGACCUCUCCUCGUGUCUCACCUCUAUGGACCAUGACCUCUCCUCGUGUCACACCUAUAUGGACCAUGACCUCUCCUCGUGUCACACCUAUAUGGACCAUGACCUCUCCUCGUGUCACACCUAUAUGGACCAUAUAUUGCAACCAUGUUCUUUUGUAUUCACUGGAAUUCUGCCUCCGAGGAUACCAAAUUGAGUUUGGUAUAUAAAUUUAAAUUAUAAAUUAUAAAUUUAUUAUUUAAGUUAAUCCAUCAUAUUAUGUAUCACACUGAAUACAUGGUAAUUUGCAGAGGUCUAUUUCGAACUAGUUAGUAAUUUACACACUAAGUUUUUUAUAAUUAACCACAACAUGUAAUUAUAAUAAUUUUUAUGAAUAUUUUCAAAUCUAUAAAAAAUGUACUAAACUUUUAGAUUGAAUUUUCUCACUGCUUCUUUUAUAGCAAUAUGUAAUUAUCGAGGCAUUUUUGAGUAUGACAUAUUAGCGUGAUCUUGUACUAGGAGUAGGCUGUGCUGGCGUUCACCUCCGACCAUCUGUAGCCUAACGUCAUUCACACUAUUGCAUUCUCGUAAUUAUAUGACUUUUACGUUGAUUAUCUCACUGAUCAAGAUACUCAUUGUCACGGUCGUCCCAGCACAAGCUUCCCUGGUCUCAGCACAAGCUUUCAUGGUCUCGUUAUUUCCCUUUUCAACGACGAAAAGUGCAGUAGUCGUUACCAACUUUUUCAGGCGAGAGUGAGAACAAAAUUUUAAGUUAUUAACUAAGUUUGCAUUCUUUGUUUUGGCAGAAGAGCUUGUUUUAUUACUUUUGUCCCUGCUAGCUUUACUUUUUAUUGAUCAAAGUUAGCUUUAUUAAAUAAAUGAAUAUUUCCUUCAUAAUUUUGUGUUUGAUCAUGGUAACCUUUUGUCUGAUUGGUCAUAUGUUUUUUUUCUGAAUGUUUAUAAUGUACUUUAUUAUAUGAUUUUUUCAUUAAUAUGCUUUAUUUGAUGUGUUCACAAUGUGUUCUAUUUGAUGUGUUCAUAUUAUACUUUAUUUGAUGUGUUCAUAAUAGGCUUUAUUUGAUGUGUUCAUAAUAAGCUUUAUUUGAUGUGUUCAUAAUAUGCUUUCCUUGAUGUGUUCAUAAUAUGCUUUAUUUGAUCUGUUCAUAAUAUGCUUAAUUUGAUGUGUUCAUAAUAAGCUUUAUUAUCUGAUUGUUCAUAAUGAAGGCGAAUGAAAGACAAUUUAUGUUUAAGGGAAUUAAAAAACAAAUUUUCAGAUGUAACCUGCAUUCUUUCUGAAGAUAUUGCAUACAAUGUUCCUGUAUACAGAACAUUGUAUACAGUUCUGUUGUAUAUACAAACAUAUAUACAGGUUCGGAUGUAACGUACAUUUCAUUGACUAAGGUGCUAGGAGACUCGAACCGCAGACCCAACGGUGUGAGGCGGAAGGUCUUCUUUAUGUAACCAACAUCCUUGAGAAAGUAACUAGGUUACUUCUGGAAAUUUUGUUUGUAGUUCACUUAAACAUAAGGUGGGUCUUUUCCUUCACCUUCAUUGAAGCACUACAGUAUUAUAGUUUCUCCAUUGUUCAUAUUAUGCUGGAUUUUGUGUCUUCAUACUAUGCAUUGUUUUAUGUUUGGUUUAAAUAUGCUAUAUUUGAUGACUUCAUAAUUUGCCAGUCAUUAUUAUUGUUCAAAAUAUGCUCCACUUUAUUAUUGUUCACAAUAUGCUAUACUUUAUUAUUGUUCAUAAUAUGCUCCACUUUAUUAUUGUUCACAAUAUGCUAUACUUUAUUAUUGUUCAUAAUAUGCUAUUCUUUAUUAUUGUUCAUAAUGUGCUUUACUUUAUUUUUGUUCAUAAUAUGCUCCACUUUAUGAGUGUUCAUAAUGCGCUUUACUUUAUUAUUGUUUAUAAUAUGCUGUAUUUUAUUAUGGUUCAUUAUAUGCUUUACAUUAUUGUUCAUAUGUUUUACUUUAUUAUUGUUCAUAAUUUGGCCUACUUUAUUAUUGUUCAAAAUAUGCUAAAUUUUAUUAUUGUUCAUAAUAAGUUUUACAUUAUUAUUGUUCAUAAUAUGCUCUACAUUAUUAUUGUUCAUCAUAUGCUUUACAUUAUUAUUGUUCAUAAUAUGCUUUAUUCUAUGAUUGUUCAUAAUAUGCUUUACAAUAUUAUUAUCCAUUAUAAACUUUUUCUUUGAUUGUCAAUGAUAUUUUAAUUAUAUGAUUAUACUGGUUUACCAAAUAACUGUUAUUUUUUGACGUAAUUGUAAUAAUAUGUAAUUUUUAAUGUUAGUUUUUUUAUGCUGUGAAAUUAAAUAUAUCAUUUUUUGUUGUUGUAUGACGAAA
rnacentral:lncRNA from 1 species